rnacentral:rRNA from 1 species
AUGGUAUCAGACCAGGACCAAACCCUAGUCCCUCUUCCAGCCGCCACCCAUGAAAUCGCCGCCGGUGAGGUGAUUCAGGCGGAUCUGUCUGGAGCUGCUCUCCAGCAGCUCCUCUGUGUGUCCUCACAGCUACUCUGUGAGAAUACUUCCCCUGCUCUCCAGCAGCCAUCUCCAGCAAGCUCUUGGUGCCUUCCCUGCUCUACAGCAAGCUCCAGGCGUUCCCCCUCCUAUCUAGCAAGAUCCAGCAAGCUCCUCCUUCUAUCCCGUGAGAUCCAGCAAGCAGCAGCCAGCCUAGUGGGUUGCUGCUCCUAUUUGUGGCUGUCUGCUGCUCAUCUCUUGUUGCUGCCUGCAGCUGCUAUCAAAUUGGGUGUUUCCAGCUGCUGGCCGCUCACCACUAUGGCAAGAAAUGAUUUUGGAUUUGGUUCUUUGAUCAUAGAUAUCAAGCUUGAUGGUUCAAACUACAGGGAAUGGGCAUUUUCUGCCCGGACUGUCUUGAGGAUGGCUGGUUUUGUUUCUCAUCUGACAGAUGAUCCACCUAGUCCAAAUGAUGAUGCAGCAAGGAAGUCUUGGCAAAAGAUCGAUGAUCGUGUGAUGGGAAAUUUACACAACACUCGGCAGCCAGAAGACAUGUCCAUAGAAGAGUACUAUGGAGCUUUCACUCGCAUCACUGGGCAGCUAGGUUCCAUGGUUCCAAAGGGUAAUUCUGGUUACUUUGAGAACAUUCGCACUCAAUUGCUUGGUCGUAUGACUCCUCCCACCUUGACAGAGGCACUUGCUAGCUUGAUCGCUGAGGAGACUCGUCUCCGUUCUCUUGGGACUACUUCUGCGCAGACUCUACACACUAGUGUUCCAGCUUUUCCUCAGCGGCCAGGUGCCUCCAAGGCCACACCUUCAGCUGUCAUCUGCUCGUUCUGCAAGAAGGCAGGACACCAUAGAGAUGGUUGUUUCAAGCUUCAUCUAGAGCUGUUAGCUGAGUUUCAGGCUAGACGGGCCCUCAAUCAGCAGCGCCGUGCACCCCAGGCUCCUUAUCAGCAGCAAGCGAGGGCAAUGCUCAUGCUGAGGUUUAGUGGUUUUGAUUGGUUUAUUAGAAGUGGUCAUGAUGAUAUCAAUAGUAGAAUGAUGACUACCUGUAGAGACAGGGAUUUGAGGUAG